rnacentral:rRNA from 1 species
AUGGGAACGCGAAGAACCUUACCUAGACUUGACAUCUUCUGCAUUAAUCGUAAUGGAUGAAAUCCCUUCGGGGACAGAAUGACAGGUGGUGCAUGGUUGUCGUCAGCUCGUGUCGUGAGAUGUUGGGUUAAGUCCCGCAACGAGCGCAACCCUUAUUACUAGUUGCUACCAUUAAGUUGAGCACUCUAGUGAGACUGCCCGGGGUUAACCGGGAGGAAGGCGGGGAUGACGUCAAAUCAUCAUGCCCCUUAUGUCUAGGGCAACACACGUGCUACAAUGGUGAGUACAGAUAGAUGCGAUACCGCAAGGUGGAGCCAAACUCUAAAACUCAUCCCAGUUCGGAUUGUAGGCUGCAACUCGCCUACAUGAAGUUGGAGUUGCUAGUAAUCGCGAAUCAGAAUGUCGCGGUGAAUACGUUCCCGGGUCUUGUACACACCG